GUUCAUUCCUGAACAUUUUCUAAAAUUGCAGCAAUACAGAUAAGAUUAGCAUGGCUCCUGCGUAAGGAUGACAGGCAAAUUCGUGAAGCCUUCCAAAAACUU
rnacentral:snRNA from 1 species